rnacentral:rRNA from 1 species
CGGCACGCCUAACACGUGCAAGUCGAGCGGAGAUUGAGAGCUUGCUCUCAUGAUCAGCGGCGGACGGGUGAGUAACACGUGAGCAACCUGCCUUUCAGAGGGGGACAACAGUUGGAAACGACUGCUAAUACCGCAUAAUAUUGCCGGCCGGCAUCGGCUGGCAAUCAAAGGAGCAAUCCGCUGAAAGAUGGGCUCGCGUCUGAUUAGAUAGUUGGUGGGGUAACGGCCUACCAAGUCGACGAUCCAUAGCCGGACUGAGAGGUUGAACGGCCACAUUGGGACUGAGACACGGCCCAGACUCCUACGGGAGGCAGCAGUGGGGAAUAUUGCACAAUGGGGGAAACCCUGAUGCAGCAACGCCGCGUGAAGGAAGACGGUUUUCGGAUUGUAAACUUCUGUUCUUAGUGAAGAAUAAUGACGGUAGCUAAGGAGCAAGCCACGGCUAACUACGUG